rnacentral:rRNA from 1 species
AAAAGAAAAUAACAAUGAUUCCCCUAGUAACGGCGAGUGAAGAGGGAAAAGCUCAAAGUUGGAACCUGGUAGGCAUAGCUUACCCGGAUUGUAAACUAAAGUUUUCGAGUCGUUUAGUCAGCCAGGUAAAUAAGUCCUCUGGAAAGGGGCGACAUAGAGGGUGAAAUCCCCGUCUUUGGCCUGAGUUUUGAUUAGGCGUUUGGCUUGGAAACGAAGAGUCAGGUUGUUUGGGAAUGCAGCCUAAAAUGGGAGGUAAAUCUCUCCUAAAGCUAAAUAUUGACGAAAGACCGAUAGCGAACAAGUACCGUGAGGGAAAGAUGAAAAGCACUUUGAAAAGAGGGUCAAAAAGUACGUGAAAUUGCUGAAAGGGAACCGUAUGAAAUCAGAUCUACUGGUAGGUAAUCAAUCUUUCCUUUGGGAAGGAUGCACUUGCCUACUAUGUAUGCCAGCGACAUUUUGGUUGGGAGGAAAAAAAUAAAGGAAAUGUAGCUUAGGUUUCGGCUUAGGUGUUAUAGUCCUUUAUAAAAUACUCUCGGCUGGAAUGAGGAACGCAGCAAACCGUAAGGCGAAGAUUUCAGGCGCUUAGAGGGAAUAAUUAGAGAAUUUCUGCUUCGGGUGGUGCUUUGAUUAUUACCUUUAACACGCUUGGAGUUCUUUUAAUUUGCUUAGGUUGUUGGCUUAAUGAUUUUAUAUG